GCAAGAAUACUGGCAAAGGAUUGGAUAACUUUGAUCUCUGACGUCACUUUCCUGUGAUAUUGCUCGAAACCAAAUACCGUACCGUUUCGUUCCUGCGGGGAACGAAACAAAAAAUGUAAAAAGUUAAAAAAGUUAGGGUUAGGGUUGGUGUUAGGUGCCGCGAAUUUAUUAUUACGGAUAAAUUUAAAAUGUGCCGCGAAUUUAUCAUAAUGAUAAAUUCGGACGUGUUUAAGAAUGUACUCAUAUAGCUGGAUUUAUUAAGGCCGAGGGGCAUUUCACUCCAAAAAAGCGU